CCGCCAAUCGCGCCGCGCCGGGGGAGGAGCCCCAAAGGGGGAAAAAGAAAGUGCGGCGGAAAGUAAGAGGCUCAUUGGGGGAAGACUGGCCGGAUCGGGGUCCCCGGGCUCCUCUUUGGCCAGACGCACCGAAAAGAAGCAGUGCUGAGCGACCCUGCACCCUUCCCCACCGGUUCGGUGUGCCCCGCGCUGCUUCCCAAGAAAGGAUGGGACUUCUGUGGUGUGUAAUGAGUCUCUACUUCUAUGGGAUCCUGCAAAGUGAUGCCUCAGAGCGCUGUGAUGACUGGGGACUAGAUACCAUGAGGCAGAUCCAAGUGUUUGAAGAUGAGCCAGCUCGCAUCAAAUGCCCGCUCUUUGAACAUUUCUUGAAAUACAACUACAGCACAGCCCAUUCAGCUGGCCUUACUCUGAUCUGGUAUUGGACUAGACAGGACCGGGACCUGGAGGAGCCAAUUAACUUCCGCCUCCCUGACAACCGCAUCAGUAAGGAGAAAGAUGUGCUCUGGUUCCGACCCACCCUCCUCAAUGACACGGGCAACUAUACCUGCAUGUUAAGGAACACCACGUAUUGCAGCAAAGUUGCAUUUCCUCUUGAAGUGGUUCAGAAAGAUAGCUGCUUCAAUUCCUCCAUGAAACUUCCAGUACAUAGACUAUAUAUAGAAUAUGGUGUUCAGAAGAUCACUUGUCCAAAUGUAGAUGGAUUUUUUCCUUCCAGUGUCAAACCAACCAUCACUUGGUAUAUGGGCUGCCAUAAAAUACAGAACUUUAAUAAUGUAGUACCUGAAGGCAUGAGCUUGAGCUUUCUCAUAGCCUUGGUUUCAAACAAUGGAGACUACACAUGCGUUGUUACAUAUCCAGAAAACGGGCGUACCUUCCAUCUCACUAGGACUCUGACUGUGAAGGUGGUAGGCUCUCCAAAAGACGCAUUGCCUCCUCAGAUCUACUCACCCAACGAUCUUGUAGUCUACGAGAAAGAACCAGGUGAGGAGCUACUCAUCCCUUGUACAGUCUAUUUUACUUUCCUGAAGGAUGCCCACAAUGAGGUUUGGUGGACCAUUGAUGGAAAAAAGCCGGACGACACCAAUAUUGAUGUAACUGUCAAUGAAAGUAUAAGUUUGACUACAACAGAAGAUGAAACGAGAACUCAGGUUUUGAGCAUCAAAAAAGUUACUGCUGAGGAUCUCAAGCGCAACUAUGUCUGUCAUGCUAGAAAUGCCAAAGGGGAGGUUGACAAACCAGCCAAGGUGAAACAGAAAGCUCCAAGAUACACAGUGGAAUUAGCAUGUGGUUUUGGAGCCACAGUGCUGCUGGUAGUGAUCCUCAUUGUUGUUUACCACGUUUACUGGCUGGAGAUGGUCUUAUUUUACCGGGCUCAUUUUGGAACAGAUGAAACCAUUUUAGAUGGGAAAGAAUAUGAUAUUUAUGUAUCUUACGCAAGGAAUGCUGAGGAAGAAGAGUUUGUGUUACUGACCCUCCGUGGAGUUUUGGAGAAUGAAUUUGGAUACAAGCUGUGCAUCUUUGACCGUGACAGUCUGCCUGGGGGAAAUACAGUGGAAGCAGUUUUUGACUUCAUUCAGAGAAGCCGAAGGAUGAUUGUUGUCUUGAGCCCAGACUAUGUGACAGAAAAAAGUAUCAGCAUGCUGGAGUUUAAACUGGGUAUCAUGUGCCAGAACUCCAUUUCCACCAAGCUCAUUGUGGUUGAGUAUCGCCCCCUUGAGCAUCCACACCCAAGCAUCCUGCAGCUGAAGGAAUCCGUGUCUUUUGUGAGCUGGAAGGGAGAAAAGUCCAAACACUCUGGCUCUAAAUUCUGGAAGGCCUUGCGGUUGGCUCUUCCCCUGAGAAGUCUGAGUGCCAGCUCUGGCUGGAACGAAAGCUGUUCUUCUCAGUCUGACAUCAGUCUGGACCAUGUUCAAAGGAGGAGAAGUCGUUUGAAAGAGCCCCCAGAACUCCAGGGCUCAGGGAGGGCUGCAGGCACCUCUUCAGCCCCAGAUACAAUGUCCAAGCACAGAGGGAAGCCCUCUGCGGCCUGUCGCUGCUGUGUCACCUACUGUGAAGGAGAGAGUCACCUCAGGAGCAAGAGCCGGGCAGAGAUUCAUACCCAGCCCCAGUGGGAGACACACCUGUGUAAGCCUGUUCCCCAAGAAUCAGAAACUCAAUGGAUACAAAAUGGCACCAGAUUGGAACCCCCUGCUCCCCAGAUCUCAGCCCUUGCUCUUCACCAUUUCACGGAUUUAUCCAAUAACAAUGACUUUUAUAUCCUAUAAUUACCGUAUGGUGGGUGGUGGCUGCUAUCCAUACCAGCCCUCUUUGUGUCAUGAACCUAUGGGAAUAACUGACAUUUUUAUCAUCUAGUGGACUACCAGACUGUGUCCCCUUUAUUGAUUUUUAAAAACUAUUUAUUUCUAGGAGACAAAAGACCUGAGGACCUGAAUCCAGAAUUAUUGCCUCUUUAAUGGCCUCAGAAGAGCACACUCUUCUUGGGCCCUAGAAGGCUCUGAUUUUCUCCAGCCAAGGAAGACUACAAAUCAUCCUUUAAACAAGGUGUUUGCAGGCAAUAGAUGAAAAUAUAGGGCAUGUUUAGCCCUUGGAGUUGCCUUGGCACAAGAAGACAAUUUAAUAGAGGAGCAGUUAGUGCAGUGUAUUUCUAAUAUACGAAACAUCAAACACUGACAUCUGGAAUCUGGUAGGAUUGCUGUAAUCAUCACAUGUAUUAAUCAGAUUCAGAUAAGCUACAUUGUGCUAACAAAGAACUCCAACAUUUCAGUAGCUUUAUAUCACAAGACUCAUUUCUUCUUUAUGCUAUAUGUCCAGAUACGGGCUUACAUUUCUGUAGUUCUGCCAUCUGAAAUGUGUGGCUUCCUGCUGUUCUGAACUUCUAAAUAUGACACUUAUUACUCUCACUUACAAUCCACUGGCCAAAACUAGCUGUGAGUGCUGAUCCAGUCAUAGAGAAGGCUGGAAAAUGCAUUCUUCCUGGGUUCCUGGGAAGAGAAAAAUGAAAUGGAACUUGGUGAACACAAAGCACUGUCUUAGCCUAAGAAUGAGAUAUUGAGAUUGCCUGAAGAGGCAAGAGAACUACAUACGGAGUUAUGUUAAAUACCUUGAUAAUGAAGGAAUGGAAGGACUUUCCUGCCAACACCCCACCUCAGCUUGCCAAGGUGUCAGGUCAGGUAGUUGUGAAAAAAGAGUAUACGAAAAUGAAUACGCCUUGUCCAUAAUUUUCCCUAAGGAAAGUUACAGAAGGAAUGCAUAAUAAUGAUUACAGCUUCUGAUUAAGGAAAAGGAUUCUUAAAAAUUGGCAAGUUUCUGUAUUUGGUUAAUUUCCAUUCAGUGGCUUUAGGUAGUUUUCUAAGAAUGUGAUGCUCAAACCAUCUGCCAAUGAGCCAUUUCAUUUUUGAAUAUCCAGGGAGUCUCAGAAGGAUUGAAGACAUUUAGAACACAGCAGAGCAUGUAACACGGUCAUUAGAAAGUCUCCCUUGAUCUAUUUAUCUGAAGAGCUAAAUGGGGAAUUCAAACUGAACAUGCUAGAGCUCAGAUGAAGGAAGAGAUAAACGUUGUUGUGGGUAUUAUGAAGUCGGCCGCCAUCUAUGCAUCUGCUCUAUGAUUUGGAUUCUUUGUAUUAAAGAUAUGAAUUUUUACGACUUCUCUAAUGUUGUGCAGUAUCAUUUGGUCAUGAAGAAAUCUCUCUUUGUGCUUAAGGAGCCUAAAUCCAUACUAACAAGUUACAAUGCUGAACAAAGAAAAAGCUUGAUUGCUUAGUAUAGCCAGGAGAUUAUGGACAUACUCAAAAUUCUUUAGAGGAUAAUUGACAAAGGUUUUCUCCUGGAUAAUACAAAACACUUAAAUAUUUAAGUAGAAAAAAAUGGCUCUUUGAAAUGGCCUCAUAGAAAGAAAGCAGGAAGAUUCCAACUCUGAACUCAGAACAUGAGCUAUUUUUUUAAGUUUUUUGUGUGUGUUUGUUUGUUUGUUUAUUUAUUGAGAGAGAGAGUGCAAAAGCAGGAGAGGGACAGAGGGAGGGAAAGAGAGAGCAUUCCAAGCAGGAUCCGCACUGUCUGUAGAACAGUGAACCGGAACUCACAAACUGCGAGAUCAUGACCUAAGCCAAAAUCAAGAGUCAGAUGUUUAACUGACUGAGCCACCCAGGUGCCUCAUGAGCUAUUUUUAUCCUACUCUAGGUGACAGAAAUUUUAAUAUUCUAUGCUUUAUUGAAAAAAAAAAGAUCAAAGCUGAUAUGUAUUUAUUUUUCAUUUAAGACACAAAGCCAUGCAUAACAACUUGUUACUUUUGUCAAAAACUAUGGUACAUGCUUGCAGUUAAUUUAUAAUUCAAUGUUUCGAAACACCUCAGGCAAGUGGUUCUUUUAAAGAAUUGCACAGGGGCACCUGGGUGGCUCAGUCAGUUGGGCGUCUGAUUCUUGAUAUCCACUCAGGCUGUGAUCUCCUGGUCAUUAGAUGCAGCCCAGCAUCUGGUUCCACGCUGAGUGGGGAGUCAGUUUAGGAUUCUCUCUCUUCCUCUCUCUCUGCCUCCCUCUCCCCACCUGUGCAUGCAUGCUCUUUCUCUCUUUCAAAAUAAAGAAAUAAGCAUUUAAAAAAAAAUGCACAUAUUUGGGGCCUACCUCAGACUAUUAAAUCUCCCAAAAUGACUUAGAUGUAUACUCUUAUAAAGUAUACAUUAAGUACCUUUUUAAUGUCUGCAAAUGUUUCAGUGAAAAAUUAGUAAUAACAUAAAUUUGGACAAAAAGAAAGGUAAAAGCAAAUCCCGAUCUUUUAGACAAUGUAUUUUUUUCUUAGAGUAAAACUUGUUUCAUUGCCAAAUACUGAGGUUUGAGUCCUUUAUUUUCAUAUCUUGUUAUGAAAUUACAUAAAAUUUGAGAAAAACAAAAUGUAGUUAAAAUUAUGAAAAUAAUCAAUGUAGUUUAAUCAACUGCAAUUUAUUUUUUAAUUGUUUAACGUUUAUUCAUUUUUGAGAGGCAGAGAGAGACAGCGUGAGUGUGGGAGGGGCAGAAAGAGGGAGACACAGAAUCCGAAGCAGGCCCCAUGCUCUGAGCUGUCAGCACAGAGCCCAUCGCGGGGCUCGAACGCAGACUGCAAGAUCAUGACACUUAACUGAGCGAAGUCAGACACUUAACUGACUGAGCCACCCAGGUGCCCCAUUAAACAACUGCAAUUAACCAAAGGCUGGAACCCUAGUACUCAUUACAUCCAUAUCAUCAGUCAUCUACAAUAGGACAAUGUGUUCAAGGUAUAACAACUUGGCUGUUGGCAAAGACAAUUAAAUGACUUCUAAGAAGAACCAAAGGAUAAAAGGGAGAAUAAGCGGACCUAUUCACUAAUUUACAAACCUCAGGACUGCAAUGUAAAAGGGAAGGGAGAUCGGUAACAAUUCCCAAAUACCAGAUGGACAGCUAAAAUGUGGAGUUAGUGUCAGAGUUUAGGGAGGAAAGUUGAAUGAUUAUUUUUAUAAAUAAGAGCCUUGGAUAUAGUGGAAUCAGGAGACCUGAACUGGAGUGCCAGUUCUCCUAUUUACUGUGUGCCUUUCAGACACUUUUGCUCUCAAGUUUUCAAUUUCCUCAUAUAUUAUAGGAGUAUAGUAUAUCCACCUCAGUAGAUUGAUGUAAGGGUAAAAUUAUAUAGUAAAUGUGAACCUCUAACAUCUAUAAAUUACAUGCUUGGAGUGGUAUUAUUAUUAUUAUUAUUAUUAUUAUUACUAUUCUAUAAAAGAAAGUUGGGGAAAAGGAAGAGGCUCAAGAGAAAGUUCUUAACCUGCUGAAUACUGUGGUACUUUCCAGACCAGAUAGUUGAACUGUAAUCUUUCAUAUCUAAAAAUGAAAGAAUAAACAAUACAAUUUUGUAUGGCUCUAAGUGUUGAAGACUACAAAAAAAAAAUCAGACUCUGAAAAAGUAAAAAGUUAAAAAAAGUUGCAUUUUUUUGUGUACUGCCAUAUAACCAAUUACCUUUUAGCAGCUUAAAACAACAAAUAUUGGGGUGCCUGGGUGGCUCGGUCGGUUGAGCACCCGACUUCAGCUCAGGUCAUGAACUCAUGGUUCAGGAGUUGGAGCCCCGCAUUGGGCUCUGUGCUGAUAGCUCAGAGCCUGGAGCCUGCUUCGGAUUCUGUGUGUGUGUGUCUCUCUCUCUGUUCCUCCCCUGCUUGCACUCUGUCUCUGUCUCUGUCUCUCUCUCGAAAAUAAAGAUUAAAAAAAAUAAAAAAAUAAAACAACAAAUAUUGAUUAUCUCACAUUUUCUGUGGGUUUCGGUCAGGAAUUUGGGAGAGAUUUAGCCGGGUGUUGAAGUCCAGAAAAGGGAGUGACUGGUCCUCAGGUUUCUUAACUUCAUCCCUAACAUGGUAAGCUACCUAACUGUAGAGGUGCCACAAGGCAAAUGAGAGCUAACUGUCUUGUCCUGGCUAGAACGUUUCUUCUUCCUGGUGGAAGAUGUGGAAUGGGGAAGAAUUAUAUCAUCUUAGUUCUGGUUAUCUCUGUCUCUGUUUUCCCCCUGUCUGCCUCCUCUCUUACUUUUCCCUUUCUUUCUCCUUCACCUCUCUCUCUCUCUCUCUCUCUCUCUCUCUCUCUCUCUCUAAGUCCUCCUCCCUCCUUCCCCUUCCCUUCAUUCUAUUCUGGUGCUGGUUAGCCAUAUUCUUGGUCUGGGGGUUGAGUAUUGAAGCAAGUUUUAUUCUGGCCUCACUUCUAAAGAGAUUGAAAGUGACUAUUUAUUCCAAAAAGCAGCCACUGCAAGAGGAAAGAUGAGGAAGUAAUGGCUUUCUCUGGAGUAAUCCAGGAUCUCAUCUUUGCUCUGAACUGAAAUAAUUAUAUAUAAAUAAUCAAAGCAUUUAUCCUCUGUAUCUCAGACCUCUGAGUCUCUAAAAUGGAUGUGAUUGGACUAGCAAGUCGGUAGGAUAUUAUAGUUCUAUGCUUAUUUGAUUCACUUUAAUGCUUAAAUAAUCCCCUCUCCUCCACCCAUAUCGCACACAUCAGCAUCCAAGGUCUAGUGAUAUUUGAAAGAAUAUUUGAAAGGUGAAAGGGCUCUUUCCAAAGAGUCAUAAAGAAUGCUUUUGUCUGUUUAGACCUAGUUCCUGUAUUGCAUUUCUCACUUGCAAAGCUAAACAGACAACUUCUCUUCUCCCUUAUCUGCUGUCCAUUACUGUCUAGGAAUAGUGUCUGUGAGAUAAUACAAUGAGUUUACCAGGAGCCUGCUCAUAGUUCAACUCUGGUGCCUCCAAUUUCUUAAAAAAAAGCUUUAAUCUUAAGUCACAAGGUCACUACUUUGUAAAUUAGAUUGAAGAAAUACUAUCUUUUGUCUUCCUAAUAGCUUCAUGCCCUUAUUUUUAACUCAUGCAAACCUCAAGCAACCUUCCUAUUGAGAUAUAUGUCCAUGUAUUUUAUGAUGCCAAAAAAAAUUAAUAAAGGGAGCCUAAUUUUAAAACUACACAGUAUAGAAACAGCAACAUCUCAGGAAUUAGGAGAUCUGAGUUCUAAUCCAAAACUAUAAUUCUAUUUUUCCCCCUCUGCUAUGAGACCUGGAGCAAAGCACUAACUGUGCAAUAUUCUCCCUGUCAAUACAAUUCAAGGAUCACUCUGUGUCUUUCUAUCCCCAGUAUUCUAAAAGUCAGUAUAGUAAUAACAAAGCAAGACUUUCCUAUGCGUUUCAGGGUACAACCAUGGUUCUCUCCAAGUAAUCCAAAGUCAGAUGUCUAAGAAAUUGGAUUCUCCACAAGUGCCCAAAUGCUAGUUAAGUUGUACAAAGUGAAAACAAAUCUCAGAGAUUUCUCCUCCUCACUCAUCCUGAGACAAUUGCUUUUCUCUUUUCUUCUCCCCAAGAAAUCUAUGAAUUUAAACUACAUAUACACUAAACACUAUUACCUGAACAUGCCAUGUAGUUUUAUGCUCCGUGUGCCUUGGUUAAUAUUACUUCUGCGUGGAAUGCCCACUCUUCUUCCCUUCCAUGUAAGCACUAUCAAACUUUCUCAGGCGGAAUUGAAUGCUCCUUCUUUUAUACUUUUAUUAUGCAUCACACUUCUGUUAUUGAACUAUAAAUUUCUAUAUCUCUCUUUCACCUGCUGUACUGUAAGCUCCCAUGGGUUAAUGCUAUAUAUUGAAUCUCUAAUUUGAGCACUUAGAAUGAUGACAAGAACAUAACAGUUUUCCAUUAAUGUUUCUUUAAAUUAAUUAUCAUGCACACUAUCAUUGGAAACAAAGUGAUAGAGCUUUGCCUCUGUCUUUCUUCUAUUUCUCCUCCGUUAUAGAUGCAGCAUUAUACAAAAGGCACCAUUUUAGGCUUUUGUUCAUCACUGUAUAAAGUGUAUCCCAAUAUUGGAAUCCUGGGGCUCCCAACACCACAUCCAGCACCACUAAAAUUUGGCCCUUGGUAUUGCUUGCAGACAGAUGACCCAUGCCCCAGUAGGGGUGGUAAGAGCCCCAGCUGUGCCACGCCUGGCCUGGUUGCCACUCUUGCACUAAGGACUCCCACCCCUGCUACACUCUAUCUGCAAUAACAGCUGAGGCUGGGAUCACUACCAUGCUCAUCGGCAGAUGUUCUGUUUGUGAUGUUGCUAUUAAAUAGGUUCAAAAUGACAGAGCACUAAGCUGUGAUAAACACUCUCUACUUACAGUGUAUCAUAGAGCAUUUCUGGCUAAUGAAUUCAAGCAGAAAAAAACAUUAAACCUAUUGUUUAAUGAAAUAUCGGAAAAAUGAAAUAAAGGGCUGUGCUGAUUCAA